AUGACUGCAUUAGAGAAAUCAGUCCAUUUUUUUGCUGAGGCGCCUAGGGAGAACAUUGUACCGAAAUUAGGGCACAGUUUCGAUACGCUCGGCGAGGCCUAUGAUUUCUACAAUCUGUACUCCUGGGAGAAAGGCUUCGGGAUUAGAUAUGGAAAGAGCAGGCUAAAUGUUAACCGGACAAAAUGCAUGCAGGAGAUCGUGUGUGGUUGCGCGGGCAAACCAAUAGUGGAGAAUACUCGGUCAUGCCGCUGCGAAUGUCCUGCCCUUAUCAGAUUGCCGCGCUCGAAAGACAAUGGGUGGUACAUAGCGGAGCACAGAGAUCAUCACAAUCAUGCCUUGUCCAACACCUAUGGGCAGACGUUGCACUAG
rnacentral:rRNA from 1 species